CUGCCACCGAAUACAUUAGCAUGGGAUAAUGGAAUAGGACCCUGUCCUCCUAUUUUCAGUUGGUUUUGGCAGCGCGAGGACUAGGGUAAUGAUUAAUAGGGAUAGUUGGGGGCAUUAAUAUUUAAUUGUCAGAGGUGAAAUUCUUGGAUUUAUGAAAGAUUAACUUCUGCGAAAGCAUCUGCCAAGGAUGUUUUCAUUAAUCAAGAACGAAAGUUAGGGGAUCGAAGACGAUCAGAUACCGUCGUAGUCUUAACCAUAAACGAUGCCGACCAGCGAUUAGGAGACGUUGAAUACAAAACACCACCAUCGGUGCGGUCNUCCU
rnacentral:rRNA from 1 species